UCAGAUUGAACGCUGGCGGCAGGCCUAACACAUGCAAGUCGAGCGGUAGCACAGAGGAGCUUGCUCCUUGGGUGACGAGUGGCGGACGGGUGAGUAAUGUCUGGGAAUCUGCCCGAUGGAGGGGGAUAACUACUGGAAACGGUAGCUAAUACCGCAUAACGUCGCAAGACCAAAGAGGGGGACCUUCGGGCCUCUUGCCAUCGGAUGUGCCCAGAUGGGAUUAGCUAGUAGGUGGGGUAACGGCUCACCCAGGCGACGAUCCCUAGCUGGUCUGAGAGGAUGACCAGCCACACUGGAACUGAGACACGGUCCAGACUCCUACGGGAGGCAGCAGUGGGGAAUAUUGCACAAUGGGCGCAAGCCUGAUGCAGCCAUGCCGCGUGUAUGAAGAAGGCCUUCGGGUUGUAAAGCACUUUCAGC
rnacentral:rRNA from 1 species